rnacentral:rRNA from 1 species
GACGUAGGGCGCGAGCGUUGUCCGGAUUUAUUGGGCGUAAAGAGCUCGUAGGCGGCUUGUUGCGUCGGGCUGUGAAAACCCAUGGCUCAACCGUGGGCUUGCAGCCGAUACGGGCAGGCUAGAGUUCGGUAGGGGAGGACUGGAAUUCCUGGUGUAGCGGUGAAAUGCGCAGAUAUCAGGAGGAACACCGGUGGCGAAGGCGGGUCUCUGGGCCGAUACUGACGCUGAGGAGCGAAAGCGUGGGGAGCGAACAGGG